AUGAUCUCAUGUCCUGGCGCCUUGAACCUUCAGGUACCUUUUCCACCAAAUCCCUCUACCGGGCCAUCGUCCCCACUCCCGCUCUGGAGCCAUUUUAUCACGAUCUGGGAGAUCAGACUCCCCCUCAAGGUCCGGAUUUUCUUGUGGCAAUGGACCCGUGGGCGCGUCCCGUCCGGUGUGGAAGUGCUCAAAUGCAAUGGCCCCAAAGACGGAUUAUGCCCCUUGUGUGGAAUGCCUGAGGAUAUCAAUCACAUCUUCUUCUCCUGCGUCUCAGCGCAGUUCCUUUGGAGUUGCCUCCGCAAGACGGUCAGCGGUCGUUGGUCCAACACCAAAUUCCCGAACCUCUUUGCUGAGCUCCAGGCUUCAACCCCUUCUAGCUGCCACAUUAGGUGGCUGGCGAUUGGGGUCCUUGCUGGACUUUGUGGACGGUCCGGAAUAAGCUUGUGA
rnacentral:rRNA from 1 species